rnacentral:rRNA from 1 species
AAGCUCGUAGUUGAAUUUCGGGGUUCUACCGUUGGUCGGGCAAUAGUCUGUACUGGCGUGUAGAAUUUCUACCUUCUGGGGAACCAUCAUGUUAUUUAUUUAGCGUGGUGGGAAACCAGGACCUUUACCUUGAAAAAAUUAGAGUGUUCAAAGCAGGCUUACGUCUGAAUACAUUAGCAUGGAAUAAUAAAAUAGGACGGUGGUCCUGUUUUGUUGGUUCCUGAAUCACCGUAAUGAUUAAUAGGGAUAGUUGGG